GACGAACGCUGGCGGCGUGCCUAAUACAUGCAAGUCGAGCGCAGGAAGCUGACGGAACUCUUCGGAGGGAAGGCAGCGGAAUGAGCGGCGGACGGGUGAGUAACACGUAAGGAACCUGCCUCAAGGAUUGGGAUAACUCCGAGAAAUCGGAGCUAAUACCGGAUAGUUCAACGGACCGCAUGGUCCGCUGAUGAAAGGCGCUCCGGCGUCACCUUGAGAUGGCCUUGCGGUGCAUUAGCUAGUUGGUGGGGUAACGGCCCACCAAGGCGACGAUGCAUAGCCGACCUGAGAGGGUGAUCGGCCACACUGGGACUGAGACACGGCCCAGACUCCUACGGGAGGCAGCAGUAGGGAAUCUUCCACAAUGGACGAAAGUCUGAUGGAGCAACGCCGCGUGAGUGAUGAAGGUUUUCGGAUCGUAAAACUCUGUUGUAAGGGAAGAACACGUACGAGAGGAAAUGCUCGUACCUUGGCGGUACCUUACGAGAAAGCCACGGCUAACUACGUGCCAGCAGCCGCUGUAA
rnacentral:rRNA from 1 species